rnacentral:rRNA from 1 species
UACGUAGGGACCAAGCGUUGUUCGGAUUUACUGGGCGUAAAGGGCGCGUAGGCGGCGCGGUAAGUCACUUGUGAAAUCUCUGAGCUUAACUCAGAACGGCCAAGUGAUACUGCAGUGCUAGAGUGUGGAAGGGGCAAUCGGAAUUCUUGGUGUAGCGGUGAAAUGCGUAGAUAUCAGGAGGAACACCUGUGGUGUAGACAGCUUACUGGACCAUUUCUGACGCUGAGACACGAAAGCGUGGGGAGCAAACGGG